rnacentral:rRNA from 1 species
AGGCUGAAGACUUUGCCGGAUUAGCUGAGAGGUGGUGCAUGGCCGUCGUCAGUUCGUACUGUGAAGCAUCCUGUUAAGUCAGGCAACGAGCGAGACCCACGCCAACAGUUGCCAGCUCGUCCUCCGGGAUGGUGGGGACACUGUUGGGACCGCCUCUGCUAAAGAGGAGGAAGGAAUGGGCAACGGUAGGUCAGCAUGCCCCGAAUUAUCUGGGCUACACGCGGGCUACAAUGGGUGGGACAAUGGGUAUCGACACCGAAAGGUGAAGGCAAUCUCCUAAACCCAUCCGUAGUUCGGAUUGUGGGCUGCAACUCGCCCACAUGAAGCUGGAAUCUGUAGUAAUCGUGUCUCAAAAUGGCACGGUGAAUAUGUCCCUGCUCCUU